rnacentral:lncRNA from 1 species
GUCCGUAGCAGCUGGAGAUCCACCCAAAUUUCCAUAUGGGGUGAGGUUAGGGGAAAGCGGAGGCCAGAUGGCCUGAUGUAUCCCCAGGGCUGACUGCAUCAUCCUGCAUGGAGACUGUCAUCUACCACCACGAUCUGAGUGGUGGGCCUGCUAAUGGACGAGGGCGCCGAGAAGGUGGCAGUAUUGUCUCCUGUGCAUCUACCCGCUGACUCCUCUGCCACAAAGUGAUCGAUGGAUGGUGGGGCAGCAACUUAGAAACUGGAUUUAGGAAUUGCUUUCAACCACUUUGUGUCCAUCUCACCUUGGACUAUUGGUCUGGCUAUGUUUCAAGUGCUUGAUAGCUACAUGUAGCUUGUGGCUACUGGAUUAAGUGGAACAGACUCUCCUCCAAAUGCUUCAGAAACGCUGACCAAAUGAUCUUUACAAAGGUCUCCUCUGACUAGAUGGCUCCCUGAGUCUACGCCAGCCUGUGCACUUGGGCUCUUCAGUCUCAUCAGGUUGUCUGCAGUGGGCUGGUGGAGGUGGCCUAGAAGAGUCUAGGAUGCUGAGGGAUGACCCCAGGGCAACCUAAGGGACCCAGGGGUGGUGGAAAUUGCCGGGCAGAAACAGCCAAGGGAGUCUGAGUUCUUUUUGUAUGGGGGCCACUGUGGCUCAUGGGGCUGGAUAUGGGUCCCAGGCAGUGCAGUAAUACAUGCCUGCAUCAUGCUUCUCCAGCAUCAGCACUGACAGGGUACUGCUGGUACCGUCCUUGGCCUCUAUGGAGGUGAUUUUAUCCACUUUCAGGACCAAAUCCCACAACACAUCCGGCUUAAACAUGGCCAGUCAGAGAAGUCUCUCAAGGUCCUUGCCCUCCUGGUGGUGGUACCAGUGGAUGCAGCAGACUGUGAUGUGGGCCAUGCCCAGCAGGAUUGCCAAGCUACCCGAGAAUACCACCACCAAUGCUUCCUGCUCCAGCUUCAGCACAGCCAGGUUGCCUGCCGGGGAGAUGGCCAUGAAGCAGGGGCAACAAGAGUCUCACAAACAGGAGGGCCAAUAGCAUGGCAAGGUGGCCCAGUGUGGCUCUACUUCCUGCCCAGGUAGAGUGAAGCCGAGAGUGACCUUAUGGGAAAAACUGCUAAGGCGAGCCACAUCUUUGUGUGUGGUGGAGGCCAGUUAAGCGUUUGAGCCACUGCUUCAAAACAAGAAGGUGACUUGCGAGAGAAAUGGGGGAAGGAAGGAGUGACUGGAAAGAGAAGAGAGAAAAGUCUGACCACAAGGUGAAGGGAGGGAUGAUAAAUGGUGAGAAUUCUGAGAAACACUUAGAGAAUGUUGGUGGAAUAGUAACAGCAAUAGUAGCAUUCUUGGAUUGGACAUGGACUACACUCUAGCAGUAUGCUAAUUAGUGUAUUUUAUUGUUUUAUUAAAUCCUGCAAAUAACCCUGUGGGAUAAAUAUUAUUAUCCUCAGUUUGGAAAUGGGGAAAGCAAGGCUGGUAUUUUAAAUCAGUUUCCCAAGACUGCACAUUGUGAAAGAUGACAUGAGUGGGGCCACAUUAAAAUGGAGGCAGAGCAGCCAUUUCCAAGGAUUUUCCUAGCUCAUCUUGCUUUCUUUAUCCCCCAAACUGGACUAAACUGCUGACAUUCUAAGUAGUCAGUAAGGACAAGAAUAUCCUGUUUGUAAGAAAUGUUGAAAUUGGACUUUGCUGAUGGAGCUGAUGACCAAAUCACUAACCAAUCAACAAAGUACAAGUCCAGCCUUUUGCCUGAUAACUGAAUCUUAAGUCAAUCUAUGAAGUACAAUCCUAGCAUUACCUCAUCUGGCAGCAAUGAACUCUAAUACAACUUACCUCAUCUUCUUCCAUUUUUCUCAUAAAAACCUGAGUCCCUCUCUUGUAAACAGGACACUUAUUUGGGUUUCUACCUGAAUCUGUUCCCUGAAUUGCAAUUCUUUGAUCCCAAAUAAAUGUUUUGCCUCUUAAACUGGUUUCUGCUUCUAUAGGUUGACAUAUGGUGUCAGAAGUGGGAUAUGAAGCGAUCUCAUCUUUGCAUACCAGUGUCUCCUGGAAACAGGUUUGGUAUGAACACGAGUCCCCUUGUGUGUGCACCACUUCCAUGGACCAUCAGCUCUUCCAAGGAUGAGUCCACUCAGUUACUCUAGAAUACAGGUUUCUGAUCAACUUUUACAUCAUAAAACCAAACUGGGUAACAAAUGACAGAGUCUAACAGAGAAACUGAUGGCUUCAUAAAACUGCUAACAAAAGAUCAAGAACAAGUAUUAAUUACAUGGGACAACAUGAGCUGAGGAGGAUGCUUUAAUGUUUUGUUUUUCCAUAUUUAAAGAAAUCUUUUCUCUUCAGCUAUCAACAAUUUGACUGGACCAAACUGCCAACAUCCCAAGAAGUCAGAAAGGACAAGAAUGUCCUAUUUGUAAGAACUGAUGAAAUUAGACUUUGCCGAUGAGCAAAUGGUAACCAAUCAAUGAAGCACAAAUGCAAUCUCUUGCCUGAUGACUGGAUCUGAAGCCAGUCUGUGAAGUACAAACCCAGCCUUGCCUCAUCUAGCACCAAUAAACUCUUCUUUAACACGACUUACCUCACCUUCUUCCCUUUUUCUCAUAAAAACCCUGAGCCCCUCUCCUGUAAUCAGGACACUAUUUGGAUUUCUACCUGAAUCUCUGCUCCCUCAAUUGCAGUUCUUUG